rnacentral:lncRNA from 1 species
GUAAAUUGUAAGAAGAACUUGUAAACAAGACAAAAACUUAGAAAAAUGACAUAGAACUUGUAAAUUCACAUUAAGUGUGAAAUAAAACAAAAAAUAUGUAAAUUACACAUAAAACUAGUAAAUUAAUGAAAAAAAUGGUAAAUUAAUGUUGGAAUUGUAAUUUGCACGAAACACUUGUAAACCAAACAAAAACUUAUAAAAAUGACAUAGAACUAGUAAAUUGACAUUAAUUGUGAAAUAAAACAAAAAAUGUGUAAAUCACACAUAAAACUAGUAAAUUGAUGGAAAAAUGAGUAAAUUAAUGUUGGAGUUGUAAUUUGUACGAAAAACUUGUAAACAAAACAAAAACUUAGAAAAAUGACAUAGAACUAGUAAAUUCACAGUAAGUGUGAAAUAAAACAAAAAAUAUGUAAACCACACAUAAAACUAGUAAAUUAAUGAAAAAAAUGAUAAAUUAAUGUUCGAGUUGUAAAUUGUAAGAAGAACUUGUAAACAAGACAAAAACUUAGAAAAAUGACAUAAAACUAGUAAAUUGACAUUAAUUGUGAAAUAAAACAAAAAAUGUGUAAAUCACACAUAAAACUAGUAAAUUGAAGGAAAAAUGAGUAAAUUAAUGUUGGAGUUGUAAUUUGUACGAAAAACUUGUAAACAAAACAAAAACUUAGAAAAAUGACAUAGAACUAGUAAAUUCACAGUAAGUGUGAAAUAAAACAAAAAAUAUGUAAACCACACAUAAAACUAGUAAAUUAAUGAAAAAAAUGAUAAAUUAAUGUUCGAGUUGUAAAUUGUAAGAAGAACUUGUAAACAAGACAAAAACUUAGAAAAAUGACAUAGAACUUGUAAAUUCACAUUAAGUGUGAAAUAAAACAAAAAAUAUGUAAAUUACACAUAAAACUAGUAAAUUAAUGAAAAAAAUGGUAAAUUAAUGUUGGAAUUGUAAUUUGCACGAAACACUUGUAAACCAAACAAAAACUUAUAAAAAUGACAUAGAACUAGUAAAUUGACAUUAAUUGUGAAAUAAAACAAAAAAUGUGUAAAUCACACAUAAAACUAGUAAAUUGAUGGAAAAAUGAGUAAAUUAAUGUUGGAGUUGUAAUUUGUACGAAACACUUGUAAACAAAACAAAAACUUAGAAAAAUGAUAUAGAACUAGUAAAUUGACAUUAAUUGUGAAAUAAAACAAAAAAUGUGUAAAUCACACAUAAAACUAGUAAAUUGAUGGAAAAAUGAGUAAAUUAAUGUUGGAGUUGUAAUUUGUACGAAAAACUUGUAAACAAAACAAAAACUUAGAAAAAUGACAUAGAACUAGUAAAUUCACAGUAAGUGUGAAAUAAAACAAAAAAUAUGUAAACCACACAUAAAACUAGUAAAUUAAUGAAAAAAAUGAUAAAUUAAUGUUCGAGUUGUAAAUUGUAAGAAGAACUUGUAAACAAGACAAAAACUUAGAAAAAUGACAUAAAACUAGUAAAUUGACAUUAAUUGUGAAAUAAAACAAAAAAUGUGUAAAUCACACAUAAAACUAGUAAAUUGAAGGAAAAAUGAGUAAAUUAAUGUUGGAGUUGUAAUUUGUACGAAAAACUUGUAAACAAAACAAAAACUUAGAAAAAUGAUAUAGAACUAGUAAAUUCACAUUAAUUAUGAAAUAAAACAAAAAAUAUGUAAACCACACAUAAAACUAGUAAAUGUAUGGAAAAAAUGGUAAAUUAAUGUUCGAGUUGUAAAUUGUAAGAAGAACUUGUAAACAAGACAAAAACUUAGAAAAAUGACAUAGAACUUGUAAAUUCACAUUAAGUGUGAAAUAAAACAAAAAAUAUGUAAAUUACACAUAAAACUAGUAAAUUAAUGAAAAAAAUGGUAAAUUAAUGUUGGAGUUGUAAUUUGUACGAAAAACUUGUAAACAAAACAAAAACUUAGAAAAUUGACAUAGAACUAGUAAAUUCACAUUAAGUGUGAAAUAAAACAAAAAAUAUGUAAACCACACAUAAAACUAGUAAAUUAAUGAAAAAAAUGGUAAAUUAAUGUUCGAGUUGUAAAUUGUAAGAAGAACUUGUAAACAAGACAAAAACUUAGAAAAAUGACAUAAAACUAGUAAAUUGACAUUAAUUGUGAAAUAAAACAAAAAAUGUGUAAAUCACACAUAAAACUAGUAAAUUGAUGGAAAAAUGAGUAAAUUAAUGUUGGAGUUGUAAUUUGUACGAAAAACUUGUAAACAAAACAAAAACUUAGAAAAAUGAUAUAGAACUAGUAAAUUCACAUUAAUUGUGAAAUAAAACAAAAAAUAUGUAAACCACACAUAAAACUAGUAAAUGUAUGGAAAAAAAUGGUAAAUUAAUGUUCGAGUUGUAAAUUGUAAGAAGAACUUGUAAACAAGACAAAAACUUAGAAAAAUGACAUAGAACUUGUAAAUUCACAUUAAGUGUGAAAUAAAACAAAAAAUAUGUAAAUUACACAUAAAACUAGUAAAUUAAUGAAAAAAAUGGUAAAUUAAUGUUGGAAUUGUAAUUUGCACGAAGCACUUGUAAACCAAACAAAAACUUAUAAAAAUGACAUAGAACUAGUAAAUUGACAUUAAUUGUGAAAUAAAACAAAAAAUGUGUAAACCACACAUAAAACUAAUAAAUUAAUGGAAAAAUAGGUAAAUUAAUGUUACAGUUGUAAAUUGUAAGAAGAACUUAUAAAUAAAACAAAAACUUGUAAAUGUUGCAUAAAACUUGUAAAUCAACAUUAACUUGUAAAAGUUUCAUAAAACUUGUAAAUCACACGUAAAAUUGGUAAAUGUAACCUGGAACUUGAACAAAAAAGAGUAAUUACCUGCUACUUAGGUAACAGGUUACCUAUUUAUUUAGAAUUAAUGGUAGAGAUUUUUUAUUCAAAUCUAACGGUCCACGUCCAUUACGGCAUCAAUGCCGUAAAUUUAAUUACGGCAUUAUAGAAUGACCCUUCCAUAAUUAUAUCUUCAAAAAAAAUCUUUCAUUUUACUAUACUUUCAUUAAUUAUCCUUUAUUGUUUCUAGUUGUAGUACGGCAACUCUCGAAGCUAGUCUUAAUAGACAUCAGUUCAAUGUUAAUGUCGUAACUGACAUUAAAGCAGUGAAAAUGAGUUGCAUACAAAAACAAGAUAAAAUAUUAAGUGCUAGCCCCCUUCUUGUCUGUUAAAAUAUAGCAAAAACCCCUAAAUAUUUCAAAAUCUAGCAAAACCUCCUGUCUUCGGUAUUAUUAAAGUUUAAAAUUCGGAGUUAUCAUUUAAAUUGGGCCCACACAUGAUUAUUUUUAACCCCGUCAAUGUUGUCACGUGUACACCACCAAAUCGGGUGUCUAAAUUGGAUUAACCGUUUGAUUUAUUCAAUAAUUAACGGUAAAGUAGCCACUCCUCCCUUCUCGCUUCUAUGCUCCGUGGGUCCUUUGUAACCUAAUUCCCGUAAACAACGAAUUUGUUCUAAUCUUUACCCAAGGGAUGUGUAUGAGGUCCAUUAGAUCCACGUUUCUUUUGCAACAAAGCCGCUUACUACAUUGCCUUAGGCCCCUUAGCUAAUGGCUAUUUACUAUUUAGACCACUUGCUGGUGGUUAAAACUCUUCUUCCUUUAUAGAUAGAAUGAAUGACUUUGAAUUUUAUUAGAAACCUCAUUUUUUUUUUUUUGGUAAAUAUAUUUUUGUAAGGGUUAAGUAGCUCCGAUAAUGACUUAAUGUAAUGAGAGUAAACUGUAAUAUAAAAUUAAAAAAAAAGAAGGUUUAUAUUAUUUAAUUAUCAAAUGGCUAGGCUUUGGAGUUUUUUUUUGGGGGGGGGAGACAAAAAAAUUCUUAUUAAAUAGAACAAAAUUUAAAAAAUGACAAGCUAAGUGAUGCAAAAAAUCUUCCAUCAUUACAAAACAACUACGGGAACGAACUAUAAAGUUAGCUAAAGCAACUUCAUCACAAUUAGCUUAGGAGAAAUUUUGAUCUCUAGAGAGUAUAUUAAUUAUCAAACAAACAGAAACACCGUUAAAAAUAUAAAUAAAUAAAAUAAAGAUAAAAUCUCUAAAUAGGUUAUACUUUGUCAUAUGUAGAGCAGGAACCUUAUUAUGAAUCAUAAAUAAAAAUAUAUAUUAGUUAUAUUAUAAAUUUUAGGGAAAUUAUCAUUCGUAUAUCCUAUAUUUACUCUGUUAUAAAAAAUACUACAAUACUUUGAGGGUGUAUCAAUCGUCCACCCUUAAUUGACAAAAUGUAUCAGCCGACCACCAAACCAUUAGUUACCGUUUGAAAGUUAACGGAAUUACAGUGAAUUGACGAUUUUACCCUUGAAAAUUAUCACUUGUAUACCCUUAAAUUCUCUUUUUAUCACUUGUAUACCCUUAAAUUAUCACUUGUAUCAUAUGAAAAGACCAAAUUACCCUUCUGACGUCAUCAUACUUAAACGGCAACUAACGGUUUGGUGGUCAGCUAAUACAUUUUAUCAACUUAGGGUAGACGAUUGAUACACCCUCAAAGUGUUGUAGUAUUUUUUAUAAUGGAGUAAACUAAGGGUAUACAAAUGAUAAUUUCCCUAAAAUUUAUUUAUUUAAAAUCAAUUCUUACAACGUUCUAAAAUGUCAAAUUAUUAAAUAAAAUUCUAUUCUACUAUUGCUAAUCUAUGAAAUUUUAAUUCAAUUAUAUUAUUUUCGCUUAUUGCUUCUUUACUCAAAUUACAUCUUUUUUACCACUCUUUUUUUAGAUUAAACUAAUUUUCCUAUUUUCUAUUUUUUAAAGUUUUUCGACACAGUUUUAUUUCAAAAUGGAUAAAAUAAGCACACAAAUAAUAAUAAUAAUAAUAGUAGAUGAACAAAAGAAUAAAUUAAAAAGAAAUAAGAACAAUUAAAUAACACAACUAAUUAAGAGAAAAAUAAAAAGAUAAAAUCUGAAAUUUGUGAUGAAAUCAUAAACUAACUUUAUCUUUAAUUGUUUGAGAAUUUAAGCAAUGAGUAGUAUUAAGGGUGUUCAGAAUCCAAUCUGAUCCAUUAAAUCCAUAUGGUCCGCAGAAAUCCGAUCUCUGGAUUGGUGGAUUAGAUUAGAUUUGAAAAUUUGAAAAUCCACAGUCAUUAUAUUGGAUAUGGAUUUACUUCUGUGAAUUCGCAAAAAUCUACGAAUCCGCAAAAAAAUAAAAAAUAUUUAUUUAAUAAAAAAUUAAACUUUUAAAUAUGGAAUUAUACUUACUAAUAAAUAAAUAAGUUAAACUAUACAUUAACACCAUAUUAUGUCUUAUCCGAUAGUAAUAUAAAAUAAAAAUAAUUAAAUAAAAAAACAUAGUUUCCUAAGUAAUUAAUUUUCAUGUAUUGAUCUAAACAAAUGAGAUUUUUUUUUCUUUUUGGUGUGUUAUAUUUUGAAACUUUGAAUGUAUUUUCUAACUUUAUUUAAACAAUUAAUUAAUUUAAAUAUUAUUUAAUUUUAAAUUUAAUCGGUAUUAAAAUUAUUUUUAUAUUAAUUUUUUUACUUAAAGUUUGAAACAUUCAAUCAAAAUCUCUUUUCUCUCCCUUUUCUUUUUAGCGGGUUUAAAAAUCAGUAUUAUCGCAAUGUGGGCACAUUCAGUUAUUGGAUCAACUGAUGAGAUACAACCUAAAUAGAAAAUAUGCAACGCUCUUAGUUAUUACGUACAGAAGGUAACAAAAUUCUCCUCUGCCACUUCCUCCUGCCUUCGACAGUGGCUUCUCAACGAUCUUUUGUUAUAGGCGUUGGCACAAAUAAAGGACGUUGAUAAUUGAGGGAAAAAAUUAAAUAAAUAAAUAAAAAAGGACGGUUGAUUAAUGCUGUCGGUAAUAAAAUAGUGUUGGAUGGGUAGACUUGCGCCUUGACGCAAAAUACGGGAAAGAACAAGCGAACCUGUAAUUCUUGAUAUCUAUGAUGGAGGUGCUGUGAUUUUUCUGGUACCGUGGCUGCUGUAAAAGAAAAAUAUAAUUAUAAAAUAAAAAUUAAUAACAUAUAAUAAAUAUAAUUUUUAAAUAAUAAUUUUAAUAAAAUUAAAAAUAUAAAAUAAAUUUUAUUAUAUAAAUAUAAAUAUAAAAUUAAUUUAAUUUAAUUUUUAAAUUAUAAUAAUUAAUAUUUAUUAAAUAUUUUAAUAUUAUAAUUUUUAUGUUACAAUUAUUCGAUCUCAAUUUCAAACAGUACCUUAAUCGAAUUAGUUGGCAUCGAGAUUCUUCUCCAACUAGAGAGGAACGUCAUAAAAAAUAAUUGUGAGAAUAUCAAUGGGGUUCAAUUGUUCAAACAAGUCCACGCACUUUUUCUCAUUUGUUUCUCUUUUUUAUACAUGACAAUUUCGUAUUUAGUUUAUCAACAUAUAUAUACACUUAUCAUAGAGUUUAUAUUUAUAUUAAUGCACGUGUUACUAUUCAUUAAUUAAAAUAUGCUUUAAAAAAUAAUAAACACCAAGGUUAUUAUCUUUGAUGAAUUCAUAAAUUAUUUAAUAAGUACCAUAAUUUAUUAUUAUAUUUUUAUAAAAAGUUCCAUUUUACUACAUUUUCACUUAAUAUUGUUGGUCCUUUACUGUUACUAAUUGUAAGGUGACGGCUAAUGAAGCCAAUCCUAACAGAAAGUCGUUCAACGUCGAUGCCAUACCAACAUUGAAGGGGUAAAAAUGAGUUCACAUAUAAAACCAAGAUCAAAUCCUGUAAGCUAUUAUCGUUAAUUAUUGAAUAAAUCAAACAUGUUAAUCCAAUUUGGUGGUGUACACGUGCGAACAUAGAGAAGGUUGAAAAUUUAAGAUGUGGGCUAAUUUUAAAUUAUAACUCCGAAUUUCAAACAUUGAUAAUAUUCACAACAAGGAAACAUUUUAAAAUAUAUUGGAGCUAAUACAAUCAACUAAUAUAUAUAUAUAUAUAUAUAUAUAUAUAUAUAUAUAUGGCAUGUGUAUUUGAAUUUAAUAUAAUCUCACUUGAAUGAUGAUAGUUCGAAAUAAAUGCAUAAAUGUCAUAAUAUGAUUUACUUAUUGUAUGAUUGAUAUGGUAUCUUCAAUGUAUUUUAAAAGUUCUCGACAACAGAAGGUUUUGUUGAAUUUUAAAAUAUUAAGAGGUUUUCGCUAUAUUUUAAUAAAUAAGAAGGAGGUUUUACUCAUUUCCCUUAAAUUAAUUUUGUAAACUAAGGUUCUUAGAUCCAUAUUACUUUGGCAACAAACCCGCUUACCACAUUGCCCUUAGCUAAUAGCUAUUUAUUAUUUAGAGCAUUUGUCUGAUGGUUAAUAAUCUUCUUUCUUGGUAAAUAGAAUGACUUUGAAUUUUAUUAGAAACCUCAUAUAUUUUCUUAAUAUAUUUAUGUAAGUGUGAAGUGCACCUGUAUCCGGUGCUCCGAUAGGAAUGUAAAUGAGAGUAAAUUGUAAUUUAAAUUAUGGAAAAAAUAUUUGUAUUAUUUAAUUAUCAAAUGUUUAGGCUUAGGAGAAGGUGUUCUUUUUUCUUUUUAAAUACAAGAAUUAUCAAUAAAUAAGUAAAUAAUAUCUAAAAAAAACAAGUUAAGUUUCGUGAAAAAUCUUCCAUCCUUAAAAAAAAAAAGGAGAAUGAAUUGGAAAUUUAGCUAAAACAUAUACAGAUUUAUUAUAAUUGGUUUUGGAAAAAAUCUUACAAGUAGAUCCUACUUUAGAAUUCAUAAAUUCUAAUAUUUAAAAAAUAAAUGCUAUGCUAAACGACAUCAUAAUUUAAGUAGUUGGUCCUACCUUCAGCUGAGGUGAUAGGGCGGCCGAUAGAAUUUUCUCCCAUAAGUAACGACAUAAUAUCUUAGAUUCGAAAUCUUUAAAGACAAAAUUAGAAAGUGGUGUAAUUGUAAUGUUUGGUACAAAUGUGGCAAAGUAUAAUGGGAUAAGUCCAUUGAAGCCAGGUGAUCUCGUGAACAACGUGUGAUCUAUUAUUAUGUAUUGUCGUGGAAAUGAGAAGUGUCUAGUUGUAAAGCGAAGUCUCCGCUAGAGAAAGUCAGAAGAAAAGGACCAUUGUUGAUUGACGAUAUCAGUAAUAAAAUAAUCCUGGAUGGCUAGACUUGGGCGUUGACGCCGAUUCAACGAAAAGAGAGAAAAGAUUGAAAACGAAGGUAAAAUAUCUUUAAAUAAGUUUAAUCUCCAUCUCAAUGAUAACAAGUUUAAGUGAUGUUAAAAAUCUCCCUUUAUUACAAAACAAUUACGAAGAUGAAGUACAAACUUAGAUAAAUAAAUUAUCUAUAAUAUUAUUAUAAAUGGCUUAAGAGAAGAUCUUAUACCUUAAAGAACAUUAUAAUUAUUAAAUAAAACAAAUAAACAACCCAAUAAAAUAAAAAAUAAAAAAUAAAAUAGAGACGGAGAAUCUUUGAAUAUUUAUAUAUUUAAUAAAAUUUAUAUUAAAUAUUUGCUUUCAUAUAUAUAUAGACACACACACACCAAAAAUAUUACACAUUUUCAAUAUUGAAGUUUUAAUUAUAUAUAUGUAAAUAAUAUUAUAUAUCAAUAUAAUAAAAUAUGCAAAUCUACCGAUAUUUUUCACAUUUACACUAUUAAAAUUUUAAAUCAAUAUAAAAUUUUAAAUGAAAUAUUGUGUAUAUAUCUAUCCUUUCAAAAAAAGAAUAAAAAAAAGAGAAUUAUGUUCAAUAUUUUAGUUUUAAUGGAAAAAACUUAGAAAUCAAUUUAAAAUUAAAAAAAAUAUAAUUGUAUUAUUAGUUGAAUAAAUACGUUAAGAACUUUAAUCUUAAUCUGACAAAGAAAAAAACAUGUUGACUUUGACCUAAUUCAUUUAAUAAUUGUGUCAAAUUUAAUAAUUUAUAUAUAUUUAUUCAUACCAUGUUCAUGUCGAAUAAUCGAGUAUCGCAUCAAAUUUUGACAGCCUUACUUUAAUAUAAUUGUAAAAAUACUCUAGGUCAAACUUAUCAGCUAGCUAGCUGAGUAAUACACCGUACAAUAAUGAACUGACAAAUAAAAUUCUUUAAGGAUAGACUCAAAAGAGAGAGUUAUAGGGGGAUCGGACAUCAAAACAAAUUUGUUAACCUAUUGUGCCAGUUUGGAUCUUUUUAUUUAGCUGGAAAAGAAAAAGGAAAAUAAUAAUGGAACAAAAGUAUGAUAAAAUCAUGACAAAAUUUUUUUUUUUAUGAAUUUUUAAAUUUUCUUUCGUAAUUUAACAUUUUUCUUUUUAAAAAAUUCUCUAAAUUAAUUAAAUUAUAAAAGUUUUUAUCAUUAUGUCGUCAUACUUUUAUUCAUCUAGAAUUGGUGAAGGUAAAAAAUGAUUGACGCUAUCGAUAAUAAUAUAAAAUAAUAUUGAAUGCCUAGACUUGGCCGUUGACGUCUUGGCGCCGAAAAGGAAAAAGAAGAAAAUAAUUGGUAAGGAUCGAACAAGCGAAAAGUCACAGAAAAAUAAUAAUUACAGUUUUAUACGAGACAUUAUUGACUAGCGGGGUUCAAAUAAACCUUUCCCCACCCAUUUUUUAAAUAAAAAUUAAUAAUAUGUAAUAAGUAAAAUUUUUAAAUAAUAAUUUUUAAAAAAUAUUAUUAAUUUUUAAUAAUUAAUUUAACUUUAUACUACAACAAUUAAUUUUUAUUAAUUAUUUUAAUGUUAUAAUUUUUAAUUUACAACUUACAACUGUUGGACCUUAAUUCUAAAUAUAGUUGUACUCGAAUUAGUUGGCAUCCAUACUCUUCACCAACCAUAGAGAAAGUUAAAAAAAAUAAUUGCGAGAACAUCAUGGGAUACAAACAAUACUACUAGUCCACGCACUUUUUCUUGCUUUCAUAUUUGCUUGUCUUUAUGGACGUGACCAUUUCGUAUUUUCGGGUUUAGUUUGUCAUCAUUUUUUUUAUAUGUAUACUUAUCAUACAGUUUAUAUCCAUAUUAAUACGCGUGUCACUAUACAUUAAUUAAAAUAUGCUUUAAAAAAUAAUAAACAAUAAGGUUAUUGUCGUUUGACUAAUUCAUAAAUUAUUUAAGAAGUAUGUUAAUUUAUUAUUUUAUUACUAUAUUAAAAGAAAUUUUCCAUUUUACUACAUUUCAUUUACUGUUGGUCCUUUAUUGUUACUAAUUGAAGGGGUAAAAAUGAGAUCACAUAUAAGACCAAUACCAAAUCCUCUAAGCUACUCUAUCGUUAAUUAUUGAAUAAAUCAAACGUGUUAAUCUAAUUUAGAGGUGUAUACGUGACAGCAUAGUGGAGGUUGAAAAUAUUGAGAUGUGGGCCCAUUUUAAAAUAUAACUCUGAAUUCCAAACGUUAAUAAUAUUCACGAGGGAGAACAGCUAACCAAACAAGCCCACUAGCUUCUUCCCCACCACUUGUACUCAAAAACUCAAAUAUCAUGAACUCUGAUCUGUACGAGGCUGCUGCAAAGGGGAAAUUGAACCCUUCAACCAAUUGGCGAUAGAUCGUCAACUUGGAAGCCUAGUGACUCACAAAAAGAAUACCGUCCUGCACGUCAGCAUAAUUGCAUCCUACACCCAGAAUAAAGAAGGAAAAAGUGUCUCAACCAAGUUUGUGGAACGGAUACUUGAAA